UUAGUUUGAUCCUAGCUAUAGUUCUUUGCGAUUCUCAUGAAAACGCAUGCAAAUUAUUAAAGUAAUAACGAGUCUUUUUAAUAAGUAUGAUUUACUAAUUUCAUUCGCAGCGUAAAAUAUUAGACAAUAAUAAGUAAUUGAUCUGGUAUGUGAAAUAGACCUGGCUAAUGUUUGUGCCAGCAGCCGCGGUUAUACCUCUAGGUCACGUAAAGAAUUUUUGGUAAGUGGUAAGUUGAUCGUUUAUUACUAAAUCAAAGCUAGUGUGAAUGAGAGGUAAAAUUCAAUAUUUUAAUUCGUUUCUGAUUUUUUAAUAAAAACAUGAAACUGCAAAAUCUAAGACAAAAAGCAGGAUUAGAUACCCUGGUAUUCUUAGAUUUAAAAUUUAUACCAAAUUAUUGCAAGUUAUGUUCUUUAAAGUUAAAGGAGUUUGGCGGUAAUUUAGUCCUGUUAGAGGAACCUGUCUCUGAAACGAUAAACCACGAAAUAUCUUACUUUUUUUCAAAGUUUGUAUACCGUCAUUAUCAGGUAACUUCGGGAGAAAAAGUUACUAAAAUAGUAUAUGUUAAUAUAUUAGAUCAAGGUGCAGCCUAUAAAAAAGUUGGGAUGGGUUACAAUAAAAUUUAUUUAAAACGGAUUGGGGUCAUAACAGCACCAUGAAGGUGGAUUUAAUUGUAAUAUUGAUUUAACAAGUCAUUGUGAUAUUGGAUCUAAAUUAUGUACAUAUCGCCCGUCGCUUCCAUCUAUUAAAUGGAAUAAGUCGUAACAUAGUAGGGGUACUGGAAAGUGCACCUAGAUAG
rnacentral:ncRNA from 1 species